rnacentral:rRNA from 1 species
UUGACCUCGGAUCAGGUAGGGAUACCCGCUGAACUUAAGCAUAUCAAUAAGCGGAGGAAAAGAAACCAACAGGGAUUGCCUCAGUAACGGCGAGUGAAGCGGCAACAGCUCAAAUUUGAAAUCUGGCUCCUUCGGGGUCCGAAUUGUAAUUUGUAGAGAGUGCUUCGGGCGAGACCUCGGUCUAAGUCCAUUGGAACAUGGUGUCAUAGAGGGUGAGAAUCCCGUAUGCGACCGUGGCUCGAGCCCAUGUGAAGCCUCUUCGACGAGUCGAGUUGUUUGGGAAUGCAGCUCAAAAUGGGUGGUAAAUUUCAUCUAAAGCUAAAUACUGGCUGGAGACCGAUAGCGCACAAGUAGAGUGAUCGAAAGAUGAAAAGCACUUUGGAAAGAGAGUCAAACAGUACGUGAAAUUGUUGAAAGGGAAGCGCUUGCAACCAGACCUGCCCGUAGGCGAUCCGCCGCUGUUCUCAGCGGUGUACUCGCUCUGCGAUCAGGCCAGCAUCGGUUUCGGCGGUCGGAUAAAGGCCUUGGGAAUGUAGCUUCCCCUCGGGGGAGUCUUAUAGCCCUCGGUGUAAUGCGGCCAGCUGGGACCGAGGACCGCGCUUCGGCUAGGAUGCUGGCGUAAUGGUUGUAAGCGACCCGUCUUGAAACACGGACCAAGGAGUCUAACAUCUAUGCGAGUGUUUGGGUGUCAAACCCAUACGCGAAAUGAAAGUGAACGGAGGUGAGAACCCUUAAGGGCGCAUCAUCGACCGAUCCAGAUGUCUUCGGAUGGAUUUGAGUAUGAGCAUAGCUGUUGGGACCCGAAAGAUGGUGAACUAUGCCUGAAUAGGGUGAAGCCAGAGGAAACUCUGGUGGAGGCUCGCAGCGGUUCUGACGUGCAAAUCGA